rnacentral:pre_miRNA from 1 species
UACAAUUUUUGACUCUUCGUCUUAUUUAAAUUUUUUUACGAUUGAUAUUUUUUAUUGGAUGAUAAAUUAUGAAUAGUACUUUACAUGUGACUAAUUUUUUUUCUAAUUUUCUAAAAAAAUUUCAAAUAAGAUGGAUGGUCAAACGUUGGACACGGAAAUCGAAG